rnacentral:rRNA from 1 species
UCGAGCGAAUGGAUUGAGAGCUUGCUCUCAAGAAGUUAGCGGCGGACGGGUGAGUAACACGUGGGUAACCUGCCCAUAAGACUGGGAUAACUCCGGGAAACCGGGGCUAAUACCGGAUAACAUUUUGAACUGCAUGGUUCGAAAUUGAAAGGCGGCUUCGGCUGUCACUUAUGGAUGGACCCGCGUCGCAUUAGCUAGUUGGUGAGGUAACGGCUCACCAAGGCAACGAUGCGUAGCCGACCUGAGAGGGUGAUCGGCCACACUGGGACUGAGACACGGCCCAGACUCCUACGGGAGGCAGCAGUAGGGAAUCUUCCGCAAUGGACGAAAGUCUGACGGAGCAACGCCGCGUGAGUGAUGAAGGCUUUCGGGUCGUAAAACUCUGUUGUUAGGGAAGAACAAGUGCUAGUUGAAUAAGCUGGCACCUUGACGGUACCUAACCAGAAAGCCACGGCUAACUACGUGCCAGCAGCCGCGGUAAUACGUAGGUGGCAAGCGUUAUCCGGAAUUAUUGGGCGUAAAGCGCGCGCAGGUGGUUUCUUAAGUCUGAUGUGAAAGCCCACGGCUCAACCGUGGAGGGUCAUUGGAAACUGGGAGACUUGAGUGCAGAAGAGGAAAGUGGAAUUCCAUGUGUAGCGGUGAAAUGCGUAGAGAUAUGGAGGAACACCAGUGGCGAAGGCGACUUUCUGGU